AGGACUGCAGUUUGUCAGAGAUCAGCUGUAAACAUCUGUUCUCUGCCCUGAAGUCCAACCCGUCCCAUCUGACAGAACUGAACCUGAGUGACAACAACGACCUGAAAGAUGGUGGAGUGAAGGAGCUCUGUGGUUUCCUCCAGACUCCCCUCUGCAAACUACAGACACUGAGAUUGUGGAGCUGCAGUUUGUCAAAGAUCAGCUGUGAACAUCUGGUAACGGCGCUGAAGUCAAACCCGUCCCAUCUGACAUUACUGGACCUGACCUACAACGACCUGAAGGAGUCAGAUGUUCAGCAGCUGCAGGAUCUUGUAAAGAGUCCAGACUACAAACUGAAAACUCUGAGGAGGUGAUGAUCUUAGUGGAGGAGAGAAGCUGAGCUGUCCUGAUGAUCCAGAGGUUGAAGCUGCAGCAGUUUGACUUUAAAGAGACUCUGACUGGAUCCUGAUGAUGAACUCUGACCUUAGAGAUGU